AUGAGACCUGCACACGUGCACGCGCGCACACAGGCUCACGCACACCGUACCCACGCCACACACGGGCAUCCCUGGAGACGUCUGCAGGCACGUGCACUCACACGCAGGUGCACACGCAGGGACCAUCCUGUCACUUGCACACAGCCCAGCCCACCGCCCCCCACCCCCCGCCAGGCCUUCGCGGAGGGAGGGGCACGGAACCCCGGCGGCCAUCUCCGUGCGCGAGGAGCCCCCGAGCCGGCAGAGGGCGCCCGAGGCUCCUUCCCGCCGGGCCCGGCUCGGCGCGGAGGGAGAGCGCGUGGUCGCCACCUGCCCUUCCAAGCCAGGUCCCCUUUGUUCCCCCUGCGGACAGUCGGUCACCGAGCCCCGCAGGCCUCGUGCGCUGUGGAAGACAUUGUUCCUUUGUCCAGAGCCCUGCAGACACGGAAGACCAGCCCACUCAGGUACAGAUGGCCUCUGGACGAGGGAGUCCCCAGAGCACGGCCACCUCCCCGCUACAUGAGCCAGACACUUUGCACAUUUCUGCACAUUAACUCAUUCGUGCCCACAGGGACCCCGCGAGGUGGGUACUGUCAUGCCUGCCCAGUGUUACAGGUAAGCCGGUUGCACACAGCUCACCUGUGACCCGGUCGGACGUCGAACCCAGGCAGUUGUAACCAGCAUGGACAGUUUGGCCUGGUUUUCCAAGAAUCAAGCAGAUUUGCGAGCUAAGCAAUUAGGAACACACUGGAGCAGCGGAGGAACGGGCCUAGGUUGGACAUUUCAGUGCCCACAGGGCAGGCAGUUGAGACAAACGUGACCGGGGCUGGGCAGGGACAGGUCUGUGGGCCUGGUGGACGGAAUGCAGGUAACCCAGAGGUGUCCCCGUGACGAUUCCCUGAAAGCAAAACUGGCCUGCAGGCCAUCGGGGCCUCUCACCCAAGUCCAGUGCUCAGACCUGGGCCGGAAAUGCAGCCCAGCAGGGCACCGCGGUUCAGAGGGGCAAGGCCCCCAAGCACCUGACCUGUGACACAUGCACCCUGGGGAGCAGCGGCUGGACCUUUCCCAGGGUGGGGCUGGAUGAAGAGCCCCUGCAGCAACAGAAGAGGGGCCCAAGGACCCCACCAGGCAGGGGCGGCCAGAGCCACACCCCCCGGAGAGGAGGCGCCAGGGAGUCCACUUUCGCCAACCGCAGCUCCAGGACCUUACUAUACCCCCUGCGUCUACUUUUUCAAUUUGUGACAAGCAAGUGGACACCGUGUUAAGAGGCUGGAACCGGCAGAAGUGGGUUUCAGCUGGUUUUGACUCAAGAAACAUCAGUGGGGUCCACUCAAGCCCGUCGUGCCCCCCCCCUCCCCGCCGUGUAAGCAUACAAGGCUCCCUGCGGUGCCUGCGUAACUGGGUGGCCUUGGGCCUUGCGCACCCAUUUUGUAAGCACAGCGGGGUGCUCCGGCGAGGUCAGGCAAAGCAGCUUUCCGAGGGAAAUUCACAUUCACCCAGCCCCCACAGCGGCCGCGGCGACGCCCCCCUCCCCGUCCCGUCGGGGAGGAAGCCUCCAGGGCCGAGAUGUGGCGCGGGCCCAGCCCUCGCCGCCUCCCGGUUCCGCGGCCGGAACAAUGCCCCGGCGAGGAACCGGAGCUUCGUG
rnacentral:lncRNA from 1 species